ACCGCAGCGAGCCCUCUCCCAGAUGGUGUGCCUAGUCAGCCACCCUGCACAGCUGGGGAUCCAGACUGACAAGGAGACAUUUCUCCUUCGUCCUGGCACUGAACAGAUUGCUGCUGGAAAGAGAUCUAACACCUGCUUUAUUUUCCUCCUUAGAUAGUUAGAAACAUCGAUCAGCUGCCUCCUGCACACUCCCUACUGGGUAUGUGCCCGCAAAACAAGGUACAUGAUCCUGACCAGAAUCGAACCUGGGACCCUUGACCCACAGGCCGACUCUUUAUCCACUGAGCCAAACCGGUUAGGGCUGUCUUUAUU